rnacentral:lncRNA from 1 species
UCCCUCCCGCUGUGUAAAAGUCGAGCACAAUGUGAUGGGGUGAGAGGAACCCUUCUUUCCCAUUUAUUUGAUGACUCAGAAAGAAUCCCAACAACUCCAUUUCCAAGCAUCUUGAACCUUCACCAGAGAAAACAAAAGAAAAAAAAAUGAACAACUAGAACUAUUACAGGCUUCUUUAGAAUGGGAUUGAACAAAAAAUACUAAUCAAAGUAUGUUUCUUACAGAGGAUCCCAUAAUAAAAUAGAAAACAAACUAAGAAUGAAACAAAUUGCUGCAGAACAAUUAUACCUCAAUGAGAUCAGUCACUGAGAAAUUUAAAUACUGCCGACAGUUUGUUUUAUUGGGAUCAUUUCUCAUUCAAUCGAACAAAUUAAGUGUGAUUUUGAAGUUAUAUAAACACAAGUUGAGGAAAGAUUCAAACACGUAAGAGAGAGAAACAGAGAUUGAAGAAAAUACAACUUACUUGUAAAUGAAGAAUUAAAAGAUGAGAUGAACCCAAAUUGAAGCGGUGAUCAAACAGUUCUGGGAAAGAAAAAGAUAUAUCACUGAACUGAUGAGUAGAGACUAUGAACAUGUAUGAAUUACAUGUCAUUAGAACAAAUAUUAGUCUGAAACUCAGAAAUCAUAUUGAUUGAGUUUAACAAUGAAAAUAAUAAAAAUAAUAAUAAUAGUAACGUUGAAACAGAGGAACCGCUCUACGUUGAAAGAAAGGAAAAGUUUAGUUGUGAAAAAAGAUGGGCAG